rnacentral:rRNA from 1 species
GGUUAAGCGAACAAGCGUACACGGUGGAUGCCCUGGCAGUCAGAGGCGAUGAAGGACGUGCUAAUCUGCGAAAAGCGCCGGUAAGGUGAUAUGAACCGUUAUAACCGGCGAUGUCCGAAUGGGGAAACCCGGUGCACUUCGGUGCAUCAUCGUUAGCUGAAUACAUAGGCUAACGAGGCGAACCGGGGGAACUGAAACAUCUAAGUACCCCGAGGAAAAGAAAUCAACCGAGAUUCCCCCAGUAGCGGCGAGCGAACGGGGAACAGCCCAGAGCCUGAAUCAGCUUGUGUGUCAGUGGAACGGUCUGGAAAGGCCGGCGAUACAGGGUGACAGCCCCGUACACGAAGGCACACAGGCUGUGAGCUCGAUGAGUAGGGCGGGACACGUGAUAUCCUGUCUGAAGAUGGGGGGACCAUCCUCCAAGGCUAAAUACUCCUGACUGACCGAUAGUGAACCAGUACCGUGAGGGAAAGGCGAAAAGAACCCCGGCGAGGGGAGUGAAACAGAACCUGAAACCGUGUACGUACAAGCAGUGGGAGCCUUCGUAAGAGGGUGACUGCGUACCUUUUGUAUAAUGGGUCAGCGACUUAUAUUCUGUAGCAAGGUUAACCGUAUAGGGGAGCCGAAGGGAAACCGAGUCUUAAUUGGGCGUUAAGUUGCAGGGUAUAGACCCGAAACCCGGUGAUCUAGCCAUGGGCAGGUUGAAGGUUGGGUAACACUAACUGGAGGACCGAACCGACUAAUGUUGAAAAAUUAGCGGAUGACCUGUGGCUGGGGGUGAAAGGCCAAUCAAACCGGGAGAUAGCUGGUUCUCCCCGAAAGCUAUUUAGGUAGCGCCUCGUGAACUCAUCUCCGGGGGUAGAGCACUGUUUCGGCUAGGGGGCCAUCCCGGCUUACCAACCCGAUGCAAACUGCGAAUACCGGAGAAUGUUAUCACGGGAGACACACGGCGGGUGCUAACGUCCGUCGUGAAGAGGGAAACAACCCAGACCGCCAGCUAAGGUCCCAAAGUCAUGGUUAAGUGGGAAACGAUGUGGGAAGGCCCAGACAGCCAGGAUGUUGGCUUAGAAGCAGCCAUCAUUUAAAGAAAGCGUAAUAGCUCACUGGUCGAGUCGGCCUGCGCGGAAGAUGUAACGGGGCUAAACCAUGCACCGAAGCUGCGGCAGCGACGCUUAUGCGUUGUUGGGUAGGGGAGCGUUCUGUAAGCCUGUGAAGGUGUGCUGUGAGGCAUGCUGGAGGUAUCAGAAGUGCGAAUGCUGACAUAAGUAACGAUAAAGCGGGUGAAAAGCCCGCUCGCCGGAAGACCAAGGGUUCCUGUCCAACGUUAAUCGGGGCAGGGUGAGUCGACCCCUAAGGCGAGGCCGAAAGGCGUAGUCGAUGGGAAACAGGUUAAUAUUCCUGUACUUGGUGUUACUGCGAAGGGGGGACGGAGAAGGCUAUGUCGGCCGGGCGACGGUUGUCCCGGUUUAAGCGUGUAGGCUGACUUUCCAGGCAAAUCCGGAAAGUUAAGGCUGAGGCGUGAUGACGAGGCACCACGGUGCUGAAGUGACAAAUGCCCUGCUUCCAGGAAAAGCCUCUAAGCAUCAGGUAACAUCAAAUCGUACCCCAAACCGACACAGGUGGUCAGGUAGAGAAUACCAAGGCGCUUGAGAGAACUCGGGUGAAGGAACUAGGCAAAAUGGUGCCGUAACUUCGGGAGAAGGCACGCUGACAUGUAGGUGAAGCCCCUGCGGGUGGAGCUGAAGUCAGUCGAAGAUACCAGCUGGCUGCAACUGUUUAUUAAAAACACAGCACUGUGCAAACACGAAAGUGGACGUAUACGGUGUGACGCCUGCCCGGUGCCGGAAGGUUAAUUGAUGGGGUUAUCGCAAGAGAAGCUCCUGAUCGAAGCCCCGGUAAACGGCGGCCGUAACUAUAACGGUCCUAAGGUAGCGAAAUUCCUUGUCGGGUAAGUUCCGACCUGCACGAAUGGCGUAAUGAUGGCCAGGCUGUCUCCACCCGAGACUCAGUGAAAUUGAACUCGCUGUGAAGAUGCAGUGUACCCGCGGCAAGACGGAAAGACCCCGUGAACCUUUACUACAGCUUGACACUGAACAUUGAGCCUUGAUGUGUAGGAUAGGUGGGAGGCUUUGAAGCGUGGACGCCAGUCUGCGUGGAGCCGACCUUGAAAUACCACCCUUUAAUGUUUGAUGUUCUAACCUGGCGCCGUAAUCCGGCGUGGGGACAGUGUCUGGUGGGUAGUUUGACUGGGGCGGUCUCCUCCCAAAGUGUAACGGAGGAGCACGAAGGUCAGCUAAUCCUGGUCGGACAUCAGGAGGUUAGUGCAAUGGCAUAAGCUGGCUUGACUGCGAGAGUGACGGCUCGAGCAGGUGCGAAAGCAGGUCAUAGUGAUCCGGUGGUUCUGUAUGGAAGGGCCAUCGCUCAACGGAUAAAAGGUACUCCGGGGAUAACAGGCUGAUACCGCCCAAGAGUUCAUAUCGACGGCGGUGUUUGGCACCUCGAUGUCGGCUCAUCACAUCCUGGGGCUGAAGUAGGUCCCAAGGGUAUGGCUGUUCGCCAUUUAAAGUGGUACGCGAGCUGGGUUUAGAACGUCGUGAGACAGUUCGGUCCCUAUCUGCCGUGGGCGCUGGAGAAUUGAGGGGGGCUGCUCCCAGUACGAGAGGACCGGAGUGGACGCAUCACUGGUGUUCGGGUUGUCAUGCCAAUGGCACUGCCCGGUAGCUAAAUGCGGAAGAGAUAAGUGCUGAAAGCAUCUAAGCACGAAACUUGCCCCGAGAUGAGUUCUCCCUGAGACUAUAAGUCUCCUGAAGGAACGUUGAAGACGACGACGUUGAUAGGCCGGGUGUGUAAGCGCAGCGAUGCGUUGAGCUAACCGGUACUAAUGAACCGUGAGGCUUAACCUU